GCUGACCCUGGUGCUAGAGGGGGUACGCAGCUGGAGGUUGAAUGUUUGGAGGGGUACGGGACUAAAGUUUGGGAACCACUGCCCUAGACCAUUAUACAAGUAGCCACCGAAUAAGUUUAAUGAAUGGUUACUGAUCAACAUGUUUCGUUUUUGCGGUUUCAGAGUUGGCCACGGACUGCCAUGACUUGUUCCUGAAAGGGGAGAGAAAUAAUGGAGUGUACACCAUGCAGCCACGCAACUCUCAGCCCUUUGACAUCUUCUGUGAAAUUACUGCUGAGUGAAAGGAAAACUAACUUGGUUGCUAUAAACUUCGAUAUCGCCAAUGACUGGAAUUUGUCCUGGCGGAUACAGGCUUCUCCAAGAAAAGUUGCUUUGCACAGAGAAAACCCCAUCGGCUGUGGAACAAUUGGAACAUUACUUGGCUAAUUCCUUCUCUUCCCGUCUUUUCUUUUACACAAGGUGGAUGGACAGUCAUCCAAAGACGGCAAGAUGGAUCCCAAAACUUCAAUCAAUUAUGGGAGGCCUAUCAAAAAGGCUUUGGCAGCCUGAAAGGCGAGUUUUGGCUGGGACUGGACAACAUCCACAAUCUGACCAAACAGGAAGAGCUCACAUUGCUGGUGGAGCUGUCUGAUUGGAUGGUAGAGGCUCAGUCUGUGCAGUAUACAUUCCUAUUGGAUGGAGAAGAGAGUAACUACACCCUCUACCUCCCCGAGAGUUCAUGUGAUAGACUGGAAAGUGGCUUAACCACCGAGCCCUCAGUGGAGGACAGACCUAUUGACAGAGACAACGAUCUGAACACAGACGUCAACUGUGCCAAGCAACUCUCAGGUGGCUGUUGGUUCAGCAACUGUGGCCAAUCCAACCUGAAUGGCAAGUACUGUAGAAAACCCAACAUACUUCAAAGAUGACAGCAAAGGAGUUUAAGAACUUAAUUUCCCACCGUCAACAAGAUGUUAGCAGAAUUACCAUGAAUUUUGUUGUUCAUAACAUCUGCUUUUGUGUAGCAAUCUUGCAAGAACAUCUCAUUCACUUUGGAUCAAUGUCUCAGUGGACACUAUUUCAGUCACAUUGCCUGAUACAUUGUAGCACUUUACACCCUUUGGAAGGGUCCUACUGUUUAUUUUAGUUAUUAUACUUUGUCAGUCGAAUGUGAGAAACUCAACGUCAUAUUGUCACUUCUAUACUUCCAAUAGUAAUAUAUUGUACAUUAAUAUCCAUUUUCAAUGGAAUUAAACUACUUCAAACAAAAUAUCUUAAAGAAAUGUAAAAGUGACAGUUAUAUUUGCAAUGGUUGAUUGCUUGGGUGAAAUGAGUCCUUAAAUCUAUGACUUAUUUUGUCUGGAUCCUUAAGGUUUAUAGUUGUACUCAAGAUGGCACAAAGAAUCAUAAAACAUACCGCUCCCCUAGUGAAAUAAAAAACGAUACAACCGCUUCACUUAAAAUUACAGACAGAUACAAGCACAACCAAGCUUAGUAUUCCCCAAGUUAUAAAUUAAGGGUUAUCAUGUCUAAUUUGCAUAAAUGGCCUACACCCCAUAGAAACAGAACACAGUGCAUAGAACAUAAAUGACAGACACCCUUACAAUAAAGGCAUAAGAAUUCCAGGGGUUGUUUUUGUACCAUAUGACUGAUAACGGAGUUACAGUGCAUUCGGAAAGUAUUCAGACCCCUUGACUUUUUCCACAUUUUGUUUUACGAUACAGCCUUAUUCUUACCCCCUUUUCAUAAUAUCCAAUUGCCAUCUUGUCUCAUCUCUGCAACUCCUCAACAGGCUCAGGAGAGGCGAAGGUCAAGUCACGCGUCCCCCAAAACAUGAACUGCCAAGCCGCGCUUCUUAACUUGGAUGUUAGCCACACAAAAAAAGUGUCUUUUAAGUAGCCACCCUUUGCCUUGAUGACAGCUUUGCACACUCUUGGCAUUCUCUCAACCAGCUUCAUGAGGUAGUCACCCGGAAUGCAUUUCAAUUAAGCUCAAGGAUCGGACACUUUUUUUCAAUUUUCGCCUAAAAUAACACCCAAAUCUAACUGCUUGUAGCUCAGGACCUGAAGCAAAGAUAUGCAUAUUCUUGAUAGCAUUUGAAAGGAAACACUAAAGUUUGUGGAAAUGUGAAAUUAAUGUAAGAGAAUAUAACAUUAGAUCUGGUAAAAGAUAAUACAAAGAAAAGAACAUGCUUGUGUCAUCUUUGAAAAUGCAAGAGAAAAGGUCACUAUGCAUUAGUCCAGAUUAGGCACAAUUUUGUCCACUAGAUGGCAGCAGUGUAUGUGCAACAUUUUAGAGUGAUCUAAUGAACCAUUGUAUUUCUGUUCAAAUUGAUGUAUCAAGACUGCCCAAAUG